rnacentral:rRNA from 1 species
GACGAACGCUGGCGGCGUGCUUAACACAUGCAAGUCGAACGGAAAGGCCCUGCUUUUGUGGGGUGCUCGAGUGGCGAACGGGUGAGUAACACGUGAGUAACCUGCCCUGGACUUUGGGAUAACUUCAGGAAACUGGGGCUAAUACCGGAUAGGAGCUCCUGCUGCAUGGUGGGGGUUGGAAAGUUUCGGCGGUUGGGGAUGGACUCGCGGGUUAUCAGCUUGUGGGGGGGGUAGUGGCUUACCAAGGCUUUGACGGGUAGCCGGCCUGAGAGGGGGAACGCGGACAUUGGGACUGAGGUACGGAGCAGUCUCGUACGGGAGGCAGCAGUGGGGAAUAUUGCACAGUGGGCGGAAGCCUGAUGAAGCAACGCCGCGUGCGGGAUGACGGCCUUCGGGUUGUAAACCGCUUUCGCCUGUGACGAAGCGUGAGUGACGGUAAUGGGUAAAGAAGCACCGGCUAACUACGUG